AAGUGUCUUGAUAAGAGCAUCUGAUGGAUGCCUUGGCGACAAGAGGCGAUGAAGGACGUGGCAUGCUGCGAUAAGCUGUGGGGAGGUGCAAGCAACCUUUGAUCCGCAGAUUUCCGAAUGGGGAAACCCGGCACUGUAGUGUCACCCGAGAGGGAGCGAACCCGGAGAACUGAAACAUCUCAGUACCCGGAGGAAAGGACAUCAAUAUGAGACUCCGUUAGUAGUGGCGAGCGAACGCGGAUCAGGCCAGUGAUUGUGUUGAUAUAACUGGAACGCUUUGGGAAAAGCGGCCGUAGAGGGUGAAAGCCCCGUACAGGUAAAACAGACACAGUCCUAGAGUAGGGCGGGGCACGUGAAACCCUGCUUGAACGUGGGAGGACCACCUUCCAAGCCUAAGUACUCCUUGUCGACCGAUAGCGUACAAGUACCGUGAGGGAAAGGUGAAAAGAACCCCUAUGAGGGGAGUGAAACAGUUCCUGAAAUCGGAUGCUUACAAUCUGCUAGAGGGCGAAAGCCUGAUAGCGUACCUUUUGCAUAAUGGGUCAGUGAGUUAGUCUGGCAAGCAAGCUUAAGCCGUUAGGUGUAGGCGUAGGGAAACCGAGUCUGAAUAGGGCGCAAAGUUUGUCGGAUUAGACCCGAAACCGAGUGAUCUAGGCAUGGCCAGGUUGAAGGUGACGUAACAGUCACUGGAGGACCGAACCGACUUCUGUUGAAAAAGGAGCGGAUGAGCUGUGCCUAGGGGUGAAAGGCCAAUCAAACUCGGAGAUAGCUGGUUCUCCGCGAAAACUAUUUAGGUAGUGCGUCUGGUAUUACCGCCGGGGGUAGAGCACUGAAUGGGCUAGGGGGGCGCGAGCCUUACCAAACCUAAUCAAACUCCGAAUACCGGUGAGUAGAGCCAGGCAGACAGACUACGGGUGCUAAGGUCCGUGGUCGAGAGGGAAACAGCCCAGACCGCCGUCUAAGGUCCCUAAGUUAUGACUAAGUGGGAAAGGAGGUGGAGUUGCAUAGACAACCAGGAAGUUGGCUUAGAAGCAGCCAUCUUUUAAAGAAAGCGUAACAGCUCACUGGUCAAGCGACUCUGCGCCGAAAAUGUACCGGGGCUAAAGUCAUACACCGAAGACGCGGGUUCAAAGAGCAUACGCUUAAUGACAGGUAGGAGCGAUCCUAUCUGUUGUGAAACGACUUUCAUGUCGUCGUUCAAUGAUCGCUUUUAGCUGUCAUUGAGCGUGUGUGUAUUUGAGCAGUAGCGGAGCGUUCUGUAGGCCAAUGAAGCCAUACCCGGGAGGGAUGGUGGAGGUAUCAGAAGUGAGAAUGCUGACAUGAGUAGCGACAAAGAGUGUGAGAAACACUCUCGCCGAAAGUCCAAGGGUUCCUGAGCUAGGCUAAUCCGCUCAGGGUGAGUCGGCCCCUAAGGCUAAGGAGAAAUCCGAUGCCGAUGGGAAUACGGUUAAUAUUCCGUAACCAGGUGUGAGUGACGGAUGGCGUAAGUUGUCAGUGCUAAUUGGAUUGUGCUGGCAGCGAAGCUGUCCCAGGAAAGAGCUCCACCGCAUGACCGUACCCGAAACCAACACAGGUGGACUGGUAGAGUAUACCAAGGCGCUUGAGAGAACUACGUUGAAGGAACUCGGCAAAUUGCCUCCGUAAGUUCGCGAGAAGGAGGCCCCGUCAUUGGGCAACCAGUGGCGGGGGGCACAGACCAGGGGGUGGCGACUGUUUACUAAAAACACAGGGCUCUGCUAAGUCGCAAGACGACGUAUAGGGUCUGACGCCUGCCCGGUGCCUGAAGGUUAAGGGGAGCGGUGAGAGCUGCGAACCGAAGCCCAGGUAAACGGCGGCCGUAACUAUAACGGUCCUAAGGUAGCGAAAUUCCUUGUCGGGUAAGUUCCGACCUGCACGAAUGGCGUAACGACUUCCCCACUGUCUCCAACGUAGACUCAGCGAAAUUGAAUUGCCCGUGAAGAUGCGGGCUCCCUGCGGUCAGACGGAAAGACCCCGUGCACCUUUACUACAGCUUUGCAGUGGUAUUAUGGGUUACAUGUGUAGGAUAGGCGGGAGACGUCGAACCAAUGCCGCCAGGUGUUGGGGAGUCACCCUUGAAAUACCGCCCUUGUAAUCUGUGAUAUCUAACCCGAACUUCGGGGACCCUGCAUGGUGGGUAGUUUGACUGGGGCGGUCGCCUCCUAAAGAGUAACGGAGGCGCGCGAUGGUGGGCUCAGGUUGGUCGGAAAUCAACCGUCGAGUGUAAUGGCAUAAGCCCGCCUGACUGCGAGACUGACACGUCGAGCAGAGACGAAAGUCGGCCAUAGUGAUCCGGUGGUCCCGAGUGGAAGGGCCAUCGCUCAACGGAUAAAAGGUACGCCGGGGAUAACAGGCUGAUCUCCCCCAAGAGUCCACAUCGACGGGGAGGUUUGGCACCUCGAUGUCGGCUCAUCGCAUCCUGGGGCUGGAGCAGGUCCCAAGGGUUUGGCUGUUCGCCAAUUAAAGCGGUACGUGAGCUGGGUUUAGAACGUCGUGAGACAGUUCGGUCCCUAUCUGCCGUGGGUGUACGAGACUUGAGAGGAUUUGCCCCUAGUACGAGAGGACCGGGGUGAACGUACCUCUGGUGUACCGGUUGUUGCGCCAGCAGCACCGCCGGGUAGCUAAGUACGGACGGGAUAACCGCUGAAAGCAUCUAAGCGGGAAACCCACCUCAAAACCAGGUCUCGCUGAGAGCCGUGGAAGACCACCACGUUGAUAGGUCCGGUGUGGAAGCGCAGUAAUGCGUGUAGCUAACGGAUCCUAAUCGCUCGAUAGCGACACUUGC
rnacentral:rRNA from 1 species